UCAUAUAGCAAGCUAUGCCAGUAUGGCAAUAUCUGAUAGUACGGCUUCUCACGUUUCCAGGGGCAACACUCACAUUUCCCCUCCAAAAUUCAACAUUUUCAUAUUUUGAGGAGCUUCAGUACGUUUGCUCACCGAGGAACUAGAAGUUUUUUUGUGUACUGCAUGAUUGAGGAAGUGCUAUUGCAGAUCAAAGUUGGUAGAAGCAUCUGCUGGGAAUCAAGUGUUACAUGGCUGUGGGUGACAAGGUUAGUGGUUUAGGAGUUCCUGCCAAGACUAGCUUUUGGAAUUUAUCCUCGCUUCAUCAGUUGGGAUUUCUGUACAAAACUAAGAUAAUUUAUUUUGGUGCUUGCGAUGAGUAUUAGACUGAGGGGUGAUGCACACAUACUUUACCCAGUGUAUCUGUUCAUGUAUGUUGUUAAUUGACUAAUUAGACAAAAAAACCUCUA